GACGAACGCUGGCGGCGUGCUUAACACAUGCAAGUCGAACGGUAAGGCCCUUCGGGGUACACGAGUGGCGAACGGGUGAGUAACACGUGGGUGAUCUGCCCUGCACUCCGGGAUAAGCCUGGGAAACUGGGUCUAAUACCGGAUAGGACCACUGCCUGCAUGGGUGGUGGUGGAAAGCUUUUGCGGUGUGGGAUGGGCCCGCGGCCUAUCAGCUUGUUGGUGGGGUGAGGGCCUACCAAGGCGACGACGGGUAGCCGGCCUGAGAGGGUGACCGGCCACACUGGGGCGGAGGUACGGCCCAGACUCCUACGGGAGGCAGCAGUGGGGAAUAUUGCACAAUGGGCGCAAGCCUGAUGCAGCGACGCCGCGUGAGGGAUGACGGCCUUCGGGUUGUAAACCUCUUUCAGCACCGACGAAGCGCAAGUGACGGUAGGUGCAGAAGAAGGACCGGCCAACUACGUGCCAGCAGCCGCGGUAA
rnacentral:rRNA from 1 species